rnacentral:rRNA from 1 species
CUCAUUAAAUCAGUUAUAGUUUAUUUGAUGGUCCCUUUGUUCUUCUUUUUUACCUACUUGGAUAACCGUGGUAAUUCUAGAGCUAAUACAUGCGCAAGGUCCCGAGCGCGGAGGGUAGGGCUUCACGGCUCUACUCUUGCAUGCGUAGAGGGAUGUAUUUAUUAGGUUAAAAACCAGCGGCAGGGGGUCAGCAAUGGCCCCUGCCAAACACUCCUGGUGAUUCAUAGUAACUCUUUCGGAUCGCAUUCAUG